rnacentral:rRNA from 1 species
CAUGGCUCAGGAUGAACGCUAGCGGCAGGCCUAAUACAUGCAAGUCGAACGAAUGUAAGGACUUCGGUUCUUAAGUUAGUGGCGCACGGGUGCGUAACGCGUAUGCAACCUACCUCUCACUGGGGGAUAGCCCGGGGAAACCCGGAUUAAUACCGCAUAAGAUCAUGACCUGGCAUCAGGUGGUGAUUAAAGCUUUGGCGGUGGGAGAUGGGCAUGCGUGCCAUUAGCUAGUUGGUAGUGUAACGGACUACCAAGGCUUCGAUGGCUAGGGGCUCUGAGAGGACGGUCCCCCACACUGGUACUGAGACACGGACCAGACUCCUACGGGAGGCAGCAGUAGGGAAUAUUGGGCAAUGGCCGCGAGGCUGACCCAGCCAUGCCGCGUGCAGGAUGAAGGCCUUCUGGGUUGUAAACUGCUUUUAUCAGGGAAGAAAACGCUCCUGCGGGAGUAACUGACGGUACCUGAUGAAUAAGCACCGGCCAACUCCGUGCCAGCAGCCGCGGUAAUACGGAGGGUGCAAGCGUUGUCCGGAUUUAUUGGGUUUAACAGGGUGCGUAAGCGGCCCGUUAAGUCAGCGGUGAAAUCCCACGGUCAACCGUGGAACUUGGCCGUUUGGAUACUG